rfam:Pseudorhodoplanes sinuspersici strain RIPI110, complete genome.
GGGGCCAUAGCUCAGCUGGGAGAGCGCGUCGUUCGCAAUGACGAGGUCGGCGGUUCGAUCCCGCCUGGCUCCA